UACGGAGGAGGCAAGCGUUAUCCGGAAUUAUUGGGCGUAAAGCGUCCGCAGGUGGCUAUUCAAGUCUGCGGUCAAAGACUGGGGCUUAACCCUGGAAAGGCCGUGGAAACUGAAGAGCUAGAGUGCAGUAGGGGUAGAGGGAAUUCCCGGUGUAGCGGUGAAAUGCGUAGAGCUCGGGAAGAACAUCGGUGGCGAAAGCGCUCUGCUGGACUGCAACUGACACUCAGGGACGAAAGCUAGGGGAGCAAACAGG
rnacentral:rRNA from 1 species